GGAUCGGGCCUUUCAGGCAUCCUCUCCCAAAACUUUUACAGGGCUGGUCCUCGGACCGGCCCUUUCUUUUUGCGUUU
rnacentral:sRNA from 1 species